UGGCGAACGGGUGAGUAACACGUGAGUAACCUGCCCUUGACUCUGGGAUAAGCCUGGGAAACUGGGUCUAAUACCGGAUAUGACUCCUCAUCGCAUGGUGGGGGGUGGAAAGCUUUUUGUGGUUUUGGAUGGACUCGCGGCCUAUCAGCUUGUUGGUGAGGUAAUGGCUCACCAAGGCGACGACAGGUAGCCGGCCUGAGAGGGUGACCGGCCACACUGGGACUGAGACACGGCCCAGACUCCUACGGGAGGCAGCAGUGGGGAAUAUUGCACACUGGGCGAAAGCCUGAUGCAGCGACGCCGCGUGAGGGAUGACAGCCUUCGGGUUGUAAACCUCUUUCAGUAGGGAAGAAGCGAAAGUGACGGUACCUGCAGAAGAA
rnacentral:rRNA from 1 species